AUUGAACGCUGGCGGCAGGCCUAACACAUGCAAGUCGAACGAGUGGCGGACGGGUGAGUAAUGUCUGGGAAACUGCCCGAUGGAGGGGGAUAACUACUGGAAACGGUAGCUAAUACCGCAUACCAUCCGAGUUGCCCAGAGGGGAUUAGCUAGUUGGCGGGGUAACGGCUCACCUAGGCGACGAUCCCCAGCUGGUCUGAGAGGAUGACCGGCAAAACUGGAAUGAGGAAAGGGUCAAGACUCCUACGGGGGGAAGCAGUGGGAAAUAUUGCAAAUGGGGCGAAAGCCGAAUGAAGAAAUGCCGCGUGUAUGAAGAGGGCCUUGGGGUGGUAAGGUACUUUCAGCGAGACGGCGUUACUCGCAGAGAAAGCCCCGGCUAACUCCGUGCCAGCAGCCGCGGUAAUAC
rnacentral:rRNA from 1 species